rnacentral:rRNA from 1 species
AAUCAAUGCCGGCGGCGUGCCUCAGACAUGCAAGUCGAACGAUUAAACUUUCCUUCGGGAAAGAUAUAAAGUGGCGCACGGGUGAGUAACACGUAAGUAAUCUACCCUCGGGUGGGGAAUAACAUCGGGAAACCGAUGCUAAUACCGCAUAAUGCAGCGGCACCGCAAGGUGACAGUUGUUAAAGAUUUAUUGCCGUGGG